rnacentral:rRNA from 1 species
UACCCGCUGAACUUAAGCAUAUCAAUAAGCGGAGGAAAAGAAACCAACCGGGAUUACCUCAGUAACGGCGAGUGAAGCGGUAACAGCUCAAAUUUGAAAUCUGGCUCCUGCGGAGUCCGAGUUGUAAUUUGUAGAAGAUGCUUUGGGAGGUAGGCUCGGCCUAAGUUCCUUGGAACAGGACAUCAGAGAGGGUGAGAAUCCCGUAUGUGGCCGUGGCCUACGCCCGUGUAAAGCUCUUUCGACGAGUCGAGUUGUUUGGGAAUGCAGCUCAAAAUGGGUGGUAAAUUUCAUCUAAAGCUAAAUAUUGGCCAGAGACCGAUAGCGCACAAGUAGAGUGAUCGAAAGAUGAAAAGCACUUUGGAAAGAGAGUUAAACAGUACGUGAAAUUGUUGAAAGGGAAGCGCUUGCACCCAGACUUGGGCGUCGUCGAUCAUCCGAGGUUCUCUUCGGUGCACUCGGCGAGGCACAGGCCAGCAUCGGUUUGGAUGGUUGGAGAAAGGCUCUAGGAACGUACCUCUCUUCGGGGAGUGUUAUAGCCUAGGGCGUAAUGCAGCCCAUCCGGACCGAGGACCGCGCCUUCGGGCUAGGAUGCUGGCGUAAUGGUUGCAAGCGACCCGUCUUGAAACACGGACCAAGGA